GCCGGGGUGGCUAAAUUGGCAGAAGCGACGGGCUUAAAACCCGUUGUCCCGAAAGGGACGUGUGGGUUCGACUCCCACCCCCGGCA
rnacentral:tRNA from 1 species